AUUGAACGCUGGCGGGAGGCCUAACACAUGCAAGUCGAACGAGUGGCGGACGGGUGAGUAAUGUCUGGGAAACUGCCUGAUGGAGGGGGAUAACUACUGGAAACGGUAGCUAAUACCGCAUACCAUCGGAUGUGCCCAUAUGGGAUUAGCUAGUAGGUGGGGUAACGGCUCACCUAGGCGACGAUCCCUAGCUGGUCUGAGAGGAUGACCAGCCACACUGGAACGGAGCCCCGGUCCAGACUCCUACGGGAGGCAGCAGUGGGGAAUAUUGCGCAAUGGGCGCAAGCCUGAUGCAGCCAUGCCGCGUGUAUGAAGAAGGCCUUCGGGUUGUAAAGUACUUUCAGCGGGGAGGCGUUACCCACAGAAGAAGCACCGGCUAACUCCGUGCCAGCAGCCGCGGUAAUUC
rnacentral:rRNA from 1 species